rnacentral:rRNA from 1 species
UACAGAGGGUGCAAGCGUUGUUCGGAAUUACUGGGCGUAAAGCGCGUGUAGGUGGCUUGUUAAGUCCUGUGUGAAAGCCCCAGGCUCAACCUGGGAAGUGCGCAGGAUACUGGCAAGCUGGAGUGGCGGAGAGGAUGGCGGAAUUCCCGGUGUAGAGGUGGAAAUUCGUAGAUAUCGGGAGGAACACCUGUGGGCGAAGGCGGCCAUCUGGACGUU